GACGAACGCUGGCGGCGUGCUUAACACAUGCAAGUCGAACGGAAAGGCCCUGCUUUUGUGGGGUGCUCGAGUGGCGAACGGGUGAGUAACACGUGAGUAACCUGCCCUUGACUUUGGGAUAACUUCAGGAAACUGGGGCUAAUACCGGAUAGGAGCUCCUGCUGCAUGGGGGGGGUUGGAAAGAUUCGGCGGUUGGGGAUGGACUCGCGGCUUAUCAGCUUGUUGGGGGGGUAGUGGAUUACCAAGGCCUUGACGGGUAGCCGGCCUGGGAGGGUGACCGGCCACCUUGGGACUGCGGUACGGCCCAGACUCCUACGGGCGGCAGCAGUGGGGAAUAUUGCACAAUGGGCGGAAGCCUGAUGCAGCAACGCCGCGUGCGGGAUGACGGCCUUCGGGUUGUAAACCGCUUUCGCCUGUGACGAAGCGUGAGUGACGGUAAUGGGUAAAGAAGCACCGGCUAACUACGUG
rnacentral:rRNA from 1 species